GAUGAAGAACGUAGUGAAAUGCGAUACGUAAUGUGAAUUGCAAAUUCAGUGAAUCAUCGAGUCUUUGAACGCACAUUGCGCCCCCUGGUAUUCCAGGGGGCAUGCCUGUCCGAGCGUCAUUGCUGCCCUCAAGCACGGCUUGUGUGUUGGGCCCCGUCCUCCGAUCCCGGGGGACGGGCCCGAAAGGCAGCGGCGGCACCGCGUCCGGUCCUCGAGCGUAUGGGGCUUUGUCACCCGCUCUGUAGGCCCGGCCGGCGCUUGCCGAUCAACCCAAAUUUUUUAUCCAGGUUGACCUCGGAUCAGGUAGGGAUACCCGCUGAACUUAAGCAUAUCAAUAAGCGGAGGA
rnacentral:misc_RNA from 1 species